AUGGCGUUCGGAGAUUAUCCAGCAGAGUAUAAUCCCAAAAUACAUGGGCCAUAUGACCCAGCCCGUUAUUAUGG
rnacentral:lncRNA from 1 species